GGGUUUUCGUCUCCCAAAUAAUUUUGGUAGGACCUCGUUAAUAAUCGGUGGGAUGUGUGGGAUGUACGCUCUAAUAAGAUGGGACGUGGAUACCUGGAUGAAAAAGGUGGACAUCAUAAUAAAAGAAACCGAAAAGACCUAUGGGAAAAGCAAG